AAAGGUAUCAAAUUGUUAAAAUUCGAAUUAGUAUAUUUUGUAAUUAUCUCGUUAAUACAUACAAUUGUGUUAGCGAACACGCUACAUUUUCAUAUACAUCGGUUCAAGAUUUUUUUUCAAAAAGUUGUUUACAGACACAAUGGAAAAAAAAGAAAAGAAAAGCAAGCCACACCACGUAGUAAAACCAAAAGGUUCGUCGCUGCGUUCCGAAUCUAAAACGCUCCGUAAAGAUGCGUAUAAUUAUCCCGACAAAAACCGUAUAUAUACGAUUUCCCGGUAGUUAUCGAUUCCGCACAUGGCAUAUCGCGUAUAACUUUUUAUUAUUACUAACGGAAGACAAGGGGUGCGGUGGGUAGAAGUACGACGAGUUAAUUGGUCACUACGUAACUCUAUAAUAUAU